rnacentral:rRNA from 1 species
CAGCAGCCGCGGUAAUACGUAGGUGGCAAGCGUUGUCCGGAAUUAUUGGGCGUAAAGAGGUCCCAGGCGGUUUCUUAAGUCUGGUGUGAAAGCCCCCGGCUCAACCGGGGAGGGGCAUUGGAAACUGGGAAACUUGAGUGCACAAGAGGAGAGUGGAAUUCCACUUGUAGCCGGUGAAAUGCGUAGAGAUGUGGAGGAACACCAGUGGCGAAGGCGACUCUCUGGUCUGUAACUGACGCUGAGGAGCGAAAGCGUGGGGAGCGAACAGGAUUAGAUACCCUGGUAGUCCACGCCGUAAACGAUGAGUGCUAAGUGUUAGGGGGUUUCCGCCCCUUAGUGCUGCAGCUAACGCAUUAAGCACUCCGCCUGGGGAGUACGGUCGCAAGACUGAAACUCAAAGGAAUUGAGGG